rnacentral:lncRNA from 1 species
AUGGCUGCGUCCACACUUUCAUCCCUCCUCUCUCCAUUCUGCAUUUCAGCAAAGGCUUGGUUAUUUGGAAUUCCUCCCCAAAGUUUCACUUCCUGGGCUAGUUUUAGGCCUGCUAAACCCAUGGUGAUCAGCACUUUUAGAAAAAUCAGCAUCUUAGAAACAACAUGUUAGACAUGAUUUCAAGCCCCUGGUAACUUAAACCCAAUUAUAAAUGGCUUUGGCUAUAAAGUGUUCUUGAAUGAAAACGUUUAGGAAGUAGGCCUGGAUUCAGAUGCUUCAGAGGCUCAAAGGUUUUCUAAUUGUUUAUGGAGAAGAUUGAUCUUCACAAGCUAGUUUUUUCAUAGGCAAAAGCAAAAGUCUCUUCCUGUGUUAUUAAGUGAAAAUGGCUGAUUAUAAAAAGGGGCUUACAAACAAUAUUUAACAAAUCUUCAUCAAGUCCCUACUCUGUGGCAGGCCCUGGGUCAGGAGGUUGCCGAUUCCAGGAAGAAUCAGACCUUAUCCCUGCCCUUGAGUCUCAAGAAGAGGAAAGGAAAACAAAUAAGCAUAGUACAGUGUGAAAAGUGGGACUGUGGUCAAAUUUCAGUCUGCAAACUCAGAAUGGAUGAAAUAUGAAAGACUGACAACAUCAAGUUGUCAAGUAGGACAGGAUGUGGAACCACUGGAACUCAUACGUGACUGAUGGGAAUGCAAAAUGAUACCGAUCCCUUGGAAAACUCCUUGGCAACUUUAAUAAACAUAAAUCUACCCUAUGAUCCAGAAAUUCCACUCUGAGUCACGUCUCCAAGAGCAAUGAAAAUAUAUACCCACAAAAGACUGCACAUAAAUCAGAACAGCAUUGUUGAUAAUAGCCCAAACUGGAAACAACCUAAAUAUUCACCAAUAGAAGCCUGAAUAAAUUCAUACUGUGGGAUACUCUACAGCAAUGAGGUAGAUGAACUAUUACUGCCUACAACAACAUGAAAGAAAGUAAAAGUCACUACUUUGAUAAUUAUAAACACAAAAAAGUAAACAUAUCAUUCUAUUCAUAUGAAGAGUUAUCUAAAUAAUUAGUAAAAUUGAUCUAUGAUUUUAGAAGUGGUACCUCUGGAGGAGAAGGAGGGGUACUGUUACUGACUGAGAAGGGAGUUCUGGAAAAAUUCUAUACUUUGAUCUUUGGGAUGGUUACACAGAUGUAUAGACAGGCAAAAAUUCAUUGAACUUUACAUUUAUUAUUUGUACAUUUUACCAUAUGCAAAUUGUCCCUCAAUUUAAAAAAUCUCAUUUUCCUUAAAAAAACACAGAGGCAAACAUUUCAAAAACAAUAUCUCACCUUAGAUGAGAUAUAGAGGCAAGCAGGCAGCCCCACUAUGAGAGCCUGGAAAAGGCAUUAGACACACUGUGUGUGGGGUGCAGUAGGGACAGAGAGACACUCAAGGAGGGUUUCUUGUGGGAGGUGACAGCUAAACAUUGAAGGACCUGUACUGAAAGUCAAACAAAGAGAAGGCUAAGGGCAUUCCAGGCUCAAGGAAACAGCAUGCAAGGGCACUCACAGCAUCCCAAGAGAAGUUGACUGAGAGAAGGAGGGUGUGGGGAAGGGACAAAACGACGAAGCCACAGAUGUCAAUGGGAGUCAGAUCUGACAGCUCACAAGCCAAAGGGAGGCCCAAGGGAGGCCCCGCAGAGUUGUGAUUGGAGUUGGACUUUAAGGAGGCCACUCUGGAGGAAGGGAGGAAGGUGGUUUAGAGGUGGUUGCAGUAAUCCACAGAUGGGGUAUGGGGCCUGAACUAGCGCAGCGGCCAUGGGGAUUGGGGCUGGGAGAAGAGCUUCCAGAGAUACUUAGGAGGAAGACUUUGGUAACCAGCAGUAUAGCGGGACAGGAGAGGAAAUCGUUAAGGAAACUCAUGGGUUCUUGCCUUUCAUGGCAAGGUGGAGCUAUUUACUGAGAAAAAGAUAGGAAGAGCUACAUUUAUUUAUUUAUUUAUUAUA